CAGGUGCUGCAUGGCUGUCGUCAGCUCGUGUCGUGAGAAUGUUCGGGUUAAGUCCCGUAACGAGCGCAACCCUUGUCCUUAGUUACCAGCACGUUAUGGUGGGCACUCUAAGGAGACUGCCGGUGACAACGGAGGAAGGUGGGGAUGACGUCAAGUCAUCAUGGCCCUUACGGCCUGGGCUACACACGUGCUACAAUGGUCGGUACAAAGGGUUGCCAAGCCGCGAGGUGGAGCUAAUCCCAUAAAACCGAUCGUAGUCCGGAUCGCAGUCUGCAACUCGACUGCGUGAAGUCGGAAUCGCUAGUAAUCGUGAAUCAGAAUGUCACGGUGAAUACGUUCCCGGGCCUU
rnacentral:rRNA from 1 species